rnacentral:rRNA from 1 species
GGAUCCAGACUUUGAUUCUGGCUCAGGAUGAACGCUAGCUACAGGCCUAACACAUGCAAGUCGAGGGGAAACGGCAGCUUAGCUUGCUAAGCUGGACGUCGACCGGCGCACGGGUGAGUAACGCGUAUCCAACCUGCCCCACGGUGAGGGAUAACCCGCGGAAACGCGGCCUAAUACCUCAUGGUCUCCGAGUUUGCCAUCAACCUUGGAGUAAAGAUUCAUUGCCGUGGGAUGGGGAUGCGUCUGAUUAGCUUGUUGGCGGGGCAACAGCCCACCAAGGCAACGAUCAGUAGGGGUUCUGAGAGGAAAGCCCCCCACAUUGGAACUGAGACACGGUCCAAACUCCUACGGGAGGCAGCAGUGAGGAAUAUUGGUCAAUGGGCGAGAGCCUGAACCAGCCAAGUAGCGUGCAGGAUGACGGCCCUAUGGGUUGUAAACUGCUUUUAUGCGGGGAUAAAGCGGGCGACGUGUCGCCCUUUGCAGGUACCGCAUGAAUAAGGACCGGCUAAUUCCGUGCCAGCAGCCGCGGUAAUACGGAAGGUCCGGGCGUUAUCCGGAUUUAUGGGUUUAAAGGGAGCGCAGGCCGGGUAUUAAGCGUGUUGUGAAAUGUAGGCGCCCAACGUCUGCACCGCAGCGCGAACUGGUGCCCUUGAGUACGCACGACGUUGGCGGAAUUCGCCGUGUAGCGGUGAAAUGCUUAGAUAUGGCGAAGAACUCCGAUUGCGAAGGCAGCUGACGGGAGCGCUACUGACGCUCAUGCUCGAAAGCGCGGGUAUCGAACAGGAUUAGAUACCCUGGUAGUCCGCGCGGUAAACGAUGGAUGCCCGCUAUUUGCGCAUUAGCGCAAGUGGCCAAGUGAAAACGUUAAGCAUCCCACCUGGGGAGUACGCCGGCAACGGUGCAACUCAAAUGAAUUGACGG